rfam:Triticum aestivum genome assembly, contig: Triticum_aestivum_CS42_TGACv1_scaffold_642270_T_6BL-0.185894_6BS-0.093494
UUUGUACUCCCUCCGUCCCAAAAUUAUUGUCUUAAAUUUGUCUAAAUACGGAUGUAUCUAGUUACAUUUUAGUGUUAGAUACAUCCGUUUCUAAACAAAUGUAAGACAAGAAUUUUGGGACGGAGGGAAUACUAC